rnacentral:rRNA from 1 species
UUGACCUCGGAUCAGGUAGGGAUACCCGCUGAACUUAAGCAUAUCAAUAAGCGGAGGAAAAGAAACCAACAGGGAUUGCUCUAGUAACGGCGAGUGAAGCAGCAAUAGCUCAAAUUUGAAAUCUGGCGUCUUCGACGUCCGAGUUGUAAUUUGUAGAGGAUGCUUCUGAGUAACCACCGACCUAAGUUCCUUGGAACAGGACGUCAUAGAGGGUGAGAAUCCCGUAUGCGGUCGGAAAGGUGCUCUAUACGUAGCUCCUUCGACGAGUCGAGUUGUUUGGGAAUGCAGCUCUAAAUGGGAGGUAAAUUUCUUCUAAAGAUAAAUAUUGGCCAGAGACCGAUAGCGCACAAGUAGAGUGAUCGAAAGAUGAAAAGCACUUUGGAAAGAGAGUUAAAAAGCACGUGAAAUUGUUAAAAGGGAAGGGAUUGCAACCAGACUUGCUCGCGGUGUUCCGCCGGUCUUCUGACCGGU